rnacentral:rRNA from 1 species
ACCUUGACAUGUACGGAACCCUUUAGAGAUAGAGGGUGCUCGAAAGAGAGCCGUAACACAGGUGCUGCAUGGCUGUCGUCAGCUCGUGUCGUGAGAUGUUGGGUUAAGUCCCGCAACGAGCGCAACCCUUGUCAUUAGUUGCUACAUUCAGUUGGGCACUCUAAUGAGACUGCCGGUGACAAGCCGGAGGAAGUGGGGAUGACGUCAAGUCCUCAUGGCCCUUAUAGGUGGGGCUACACACGUCAUACAAUGGCUGGUACAAAGGGUUGCCAACCCGCGAGGGGGAGCCAAUCCCAUAAAGCCAGUCGUAGUCCGGAUCGUAGUCUGCAACUCGACUACGUGAAGUCGGAAUCGCUAGUAAUCGUGGAUCAGAAUGUCACGGUGAAUACGUUCCCGGGUCUU